GAGCUUAAUAUUUAAUGACUUCCCUGCUGGGUUUUGAAUGGCAUGGGGCCUGUGGGCCCUUCAUUUUGGCCAAUUUCUCCCAUUUGGAAUAGUGAAAAUUUGACCUGCCUCAUUGGGUUGUUGGGAAGAUUAAACCUGAGACCAUAUGCAAAUCCUGAUGUACACUGACAGAUGAUACUGCCAGCUGCACCGCACUCCUGUCUACUCUACUCUCUUUUAGUAAUUGAGUCAAUCUGCAUCCACUCUCCAUCAUUCCCCCACCACUCCAUUUUUAGGAACAUGGCCUCCCAGCCACAGACUACAUUUACCAGCAUCCCUUGAAGCUAACAGCACCAAGGAGUACGACAUUCAGGAAAUGGCAAUGUGGCAGUAAGGAAGGAAUCUGUGCCCUUUAAUGACCUAGAGGAGUAGAUCUACUUUGCCACCUGGACCGGCCAUGCCUACAUCAUCCUAACCUGAAAAGGGAAGAGAAAUUGAAGAAAAUUGUGGAGGAGUAGGAAGAAUGAAGACACAGAGGCAAGAAACAGAAGAAGAAUAGGAAGAGAAGAUAAAGCAGGAUAAAGUAGAGGAGAAAUAACCUUCUGAAUGGUAGGUCAUAUAUAAAUUA